CUCCCGCAAAACACACCACCGGCUCCACAUUCCCUCCUCUUGGAUCUGCGACCGAGGAGGGCGAACGCCUGGAACCCAGGGAGGAGAUGGGCUCUGGAAGGACUUGGGCUAAUAACGAAUGGCCCUGGCAAUAGUACGUGAUAUUGAUGUGCCCGACAAUUCAGACGGUGUAGAGGAGGAAGCAGUCCCAUUCACCCACCUGUUCAACAACGUUGUGGAGCGAUUACGGUACAACUGACACGGUGCCUUCCGGUUCCUUUUUGGGCUCAGAAUCCCCGCUUGGACCAGCAAAAGGAAGAAGCCUGGGGCACAAAUGAAAACAACUGGAGAAAGGAAACUCACCAACAACCACUGGAAAAUGCUAACCCCGCGAGGGGUGGGCGUUGGAAUUGCCACGCGGAAGGUGGUUUAACACAUUCCCUUACACCAGGCUGAACCCUGGCCUCCCACUGCCUGCAUCCUAGGUGUGAAAAUUGCAUUUCACUCGACAAUAUCAAAACAAUACUUUGGUUCGCUUGAGCUUGUAAAAUCAGAGUCCUGGUGGCCUUGAGCCUAUGUUUUGGCGAUAGCAGCGGCUGGUGCUGGUGCUGGUGCUGGUGCUGGUGCUGGUCAGGCAUGGCCCAUUUAGCUAACAGGCCCUCUCCACGGCCCCGGCAGAUCCCUGCCUCACCCCAAGCUUACCUGUCAGGCCCUACAGGUGUAUGAAUUUGCACCCCAGACUUCUGUUCUAAUGCAUCUAAAUGAGGAGUUUGGGGCGAGCGUUUGUUUGUUUGAAAUCUGCACCAUGUUAGACGCUAUUUCAAAAAGGAAGCUGAUUUAGACAUGGUACCUUACUGCGGGUACACGCGUAUUCCCACAAGUCAGAGCACCUUCAGCUGCAGCCCUAGCACACCUCCUGAAGGGCCCUGAGGGUGGAGGGGGGGUGGGGGGAGAGAGGCUGGAGCAGAGGGCAGUGGGACUACAGAACGGAAAAAAAAUAGACAAAAUGCCUUGUCCUCAUGCAGCUUACAUUCUAGUGACGGGAGACGUACCAUGGUCAAAACAUGGGAGUGAAUUAUACAGUAUGUUAGAUGGUGAGUGUCAUCGAUAUGUUACUAGUAGUUAUAACAAGAACACAUACAGUAGCAGUAAAAGACGGUAAUUACCAGCGUGAAAACUCUGUGUGGACGAUGCAAGGAAUCAAAUACUAUGUUGACUGAAAAACUGAGUGGAACAAAAACUCUAUCUGAAUUGACAUGCAGGCUACAGGAUUAUCCAGACGUGUCCCAGCUUCAUUUAGAGGCUGUCACAACGCGAGAAUGAACCGCGAGAUUUCAUAGCCCUACCUACAGGAGUCUCCCCCAAACUGGCAAUGUCUGCGCCAGACGCCAGCUCCCAAGGUGCAGGGGCGCCUGCAGGGGGCGCCCAAGGACCGUGGCAGGGUCCCCAGGCAGGCCCCAGCCUGAGGCCACCUGGGUAAAUAUUUCAAAGUAUCAACACAAUGAUUAUUUUCUGAUUUUUUUAAAAUCUGUUUUUAAAAUGUAGACUAAAUAUAUUUUAAAACAUGUAAAAUCUCUGACUUAAGGGGAAACCAAUUUCACUUGCUACAGGAACAGAUCUUAAGGGGUUUAAAUAAAUCGCCAAUCCCUGCCA